UAAUACGUAGGUGGCGAGCGUUAUCCGGAUUUAUUGGGCGUAAAGAGGGCGCAGGCGGCUUUUCAAGUCGAAUGUAAAAUCUCCCGGCUUAACUGGGAGGGACCAUGCGAUACUGUUGAGCUAGAGGGCAACAGGGGGAGGUAGAAUUCCCGGUGUAGUGGUGAAAUGCGUAGAUAUCGGGAGGAAUACCAGUGGCGAAGGCGGCCUCCUAGGUUGUUACUGACGCUUAUGCCCGAAGGCGUGGGGAGCAAACAGGAUUAGAUACCCUGGUAGUCCACGCUGUAAACGAUGGACACUAGGUAUAGGGAGUAUCGACCCUCUCUGUGCCGAAGCUAACGCGUUAAGUGUCCCGCCUGGGGACUACGGCCGCAAGGCUA
rnacentral:rRNA from 1 species